rnacentral:tRNA from 2 species
CCCAGGUUAGCUCAGUUGGUAGAGCGCUCCACCUGUAAUGGAGAGGUCCCGGGUUCGAUACCCGGACCAGGCG